rnacentral:lncRNA from 13 species
AUGUUCCCUUGUGUGCAGCCAUCUGUUGAGCUCCCUCCUCCCUCCUCCUGCGGGGAAGCGGUAGCCAGCUUGCCCGGCCAGCUGCACGCCUCGGACGAGGAGGAACGAGGAGAGAAGGGGACAGCCAGCCCAAGCCCCGCCGCUGCCGGCUCCCGGCGGCGCCCGCUCCCGCCGUGGGAACCGGCGCUGCGCGGCCACCCCGCCGUGGGAACCGGCCCGGCGCUGGGAACCGACCCCGGCCCCGGUGAGUCCCUCCCUCUGCCCCCACGCCCUCCCUGCCCCCCGCAUCCCCUCCCUGACACCCACCCCUUCCUUGCGCCCUCCAUCCCCUCUCUGGCCCCUGCAUGCCCUUUCUGCACCCCCCUCAAAACUUCCCCGAGUGUGCAGAAGCGUGGGGCUCAUUUUUGGGGAGGGGGGAAGCUGUACCGCAAUGGGCUGAGCCCUCCCUGCCGCCUCCCAGGGGAUGUGCAGGGCCAGCCCCGGGAGUGCCUGCUGGGGAGCCCUCCCCAGUCUCAGAGUGCGGAAACUUUUUUUGGUGUGAUGAGUUUUUCCUCGCGUGGGGGCUCAGCGGCCGGGGGCCGGGGGCGCAGGGUAGGGGGAAGGACAGAGGUCUCGGGUGGAGGUAAACUACUUUUUCCCCACCUCUGUUUUUUCCAGAGGGGUAACUUUAAGAUUAGGCGGGUGCGUAAGAGCCCCCAGCCCGGCUACCCUCCCGGGAUGAAGCGUCUCCAGCUGGAAUCCCUUCUCCUUCCCCCAGUGGAAUGGUGGUUUGUAGAGUGCUCGAGAUUGCCACGGCUGCAGAGUAAUCCGAGCAGCAGCUGGAGGCUCCGCACCGCCUCCCGUGCCCGGCUUCGGGGCUUUGAUUUCACACAGGGCUCCCUGUCUCCCCUCCUCUCCCUCCUCCUCCUCCUCUCCGGGCCCUCCCCCCCACUCUCGGGAGCGAAGAGAAGCUUUUUGGUGGGUUUCUGGGGCUGGGAGGCUCGCAGGAUUUUGCAGCUUACUCAAGGCAAAAGCAUCCUGUGCUCCCCCAGCCACACAGUGAGCAGCAGUACGUGCCACCCCUGUGCAAGACAGAGCUGGGAAUAAAAGGAGAACAAUGCAUUUCCUGGCCUGGUUCAAUUUGCUGCUUCUCCUUCCUUGUUUUGGUACCACCAAAACCUGCUUCCCUGGCUGCCACUGCGAAGUGGAAACCUUUGGUCUCUUUGACAGCUUCAGCUUGACCAAGGUGGACUGCAGUGGAAUAGGCUCACACAUUGUUCCUGUCCCAAUCCCUCUGGAUACCUCCUACUUGGAUCUAUCAUCAAACAAACUGGAAACAAUAAAUGAAUCGAUGCUUACUGGCCCUGGAUACACCACCCUG